CUAUCAAAUAUCCAAAAGCCUCAAAAAGAUGUUAGAUGAAACAACAGGAAUAGGAGGGAGUCUAAAAAACCAUGAUAAGUAACUAUACUAGACGGUUAUGUGAGGUCAGUGUCCAUAUGAGAAACUCUGCCAGUUUUUUGCGGUGGACCAACGAAAAUGUUUGCUGGCUGUCUAUUAUAGGAUUAGUUCUUUAGACAAGAAGACAUUUCAAAGGUCAACCAUGUGGUGGGGCCGAACUGGUUCAGCCAUUAGUCUACCAUGGAGUACAUCUAAUAAAUCACAAGUCCUUUACAUGCUGUGUCUGGAUCAACAUGCAAAAGUAAAACCGAAUCAAGUAAAGGGAAGUAAGUGAUGAUAUGCAAACAAUUAUCCCACAGAAUGCGAGGAUGUCAGCUGGUUCAUCAAAGCUGUCCUGAAUUGUGGAGACGUUGAUUCCAAGCGGCCAAUGGCUGACAUACACCUGAAACUGUCAGCCCCAUAA